ACACUGAUGGUGAAGUGGUUAUCAUGCUUGCCUUCCAUUGCUGUGUGAGCAAGCGGCAGGGGUUCGAUUCCCCUUCAGUGUA